GGCCACUGCUAUGGGGGUCCGACUAAGCCAUGCGAGUCACGGGGCGCGCUCUGCGCGCACCGGCGGACGGCUCAGUAACACGUCGGUAACCUACCCUCGGGAGGGGGAUAACCCUGGGAAACUGGGGCUAAUCCCCCAUAGGCCUGAGGUACUGGAAGGUCCUCAGGCCGAAAGGGACUCUGUCCGCCCGAGGAUGGGUCGGCGGUCGAUUAGGUAGUUGGUGGGGUAACGGCCCACCAAGCCGAAGAUCGGUACGGGCCAUGAGAGUGGGAGCCCGGAGAUGGACACUGAGUCACGGGUCCAGGCCCUACGGGGCGCAGCAGGCGCGAAACCUCCGCAAUGCGGGCAACCGCGACGGGGGGACCCCCAGUGCCGUGGCACAGCCACGGCUUUUCCGGAGUGCAAAAAGCUCCGGGAAUAAGGGCUGGGCAAGGCCGGUGGCAGCCGCCGCGGUAAUACCGGCGGCCCGAGUGGUGGCCGCUGUUAUUGGGCCUAAAGCGUCCGUAGCCGGGCCCGUAAGUCCCUGGCGAAAUCCCACGGCUCAACCGUGGGGCUUGCUGGGGAUACUGCGGGCCUUGGGACCGGGAAAGGCGGAGGGUACCCCUGGGGUAGGGGUGAAAUCCUAUAAUCCCAGGGGGACCGCCAGUGGCGAAGGCGCUCCGCUGGAACGGGUCCGACGGUGAGGGACGAAGGCCAGGGGAGCGAACCGGAUUAGAUACCCGGGUAGUCCUGGCUGUAAAGGAUGCGGGCUAGGUGUCGGGCGAGCUUCGGGCUCGCCCGGUGCCGGAGGGAAGCCGUUAAGCCCGCCGCCUGGGGAGUACGGCCGCAAGGCUGAAACUUAAAGGAAUUGGCGGGGGAGCACUGCAACGGGUGGAGCGUGCGGUUU
rnacentral:rRNA from 1 species